rnacentral:rRNA from 1 species
CUAACAAGGAUUCCCUUAGUAACGGCGAGUGAACAGGGAUUAGCCCAGCACCGAAGCCUGUGGCCAUUUGGUUACUAGGCAAUGUGGUGUUCAGGUCGUUCCGCAGAGGCACUGCUCCACUCCAAGUCCAGCAAUGAGUACGGUAGUACAGACUUGGCCCAAAGAGGGUGAAAGGCCCGUGGGGGUGGAGAUUCAGGCAUGCCAGUGUCUCUCUGGGUAGACCUUGGAGUCGGGUUGUUUGUGAAUGCAGCCCAAAGCGGGUGGUAAACUCCAUCCAAGGCUAAAUACUAGCACGAGUCCGAUAGCGAACAAGUACCGUGAGGGAAAGUUGAAAAGUACUUUGAAGAGAGAGUAAACAGUGCGUGAAACCGCUCAGAGGUAAACGGGUGGAGUUGAACUGCAAGCCUUGAGAAUUCAGCUGGUGAGUGUGGUUUGAGCUGGGUCAAAUUGGUUGUACACUGGGGUCUGCGUAGUAGCAGGUCUCUGCCCUCGGGUGGGGAUGCGCGAAUCGUUUAUCAAGCGUUGUGCGCUUCAGUUGUAUUCGGGCCUGCUUGCCAGUGCACUUUCUCAGGGUGUUCACCACGACCGGCACUGCUGUCUGGCUGUUGUGGUUAAACCGGUCUUUCAUCGUCCUUGUGGCUUUGUUUGGUCGGGACGGCAGGUAGCUCGUUGGCUAGUCUGGGGUAACCUGGGCAAUUGGUCUUCGGGUGUAAUCAGCUGACCAUAAUGGUUCUGUGCGGUGUGUCGGAGACGGCGGCUUGUGGUGUGAGCGCGCGUGCCUUGUCUGCUGACUUGUUUGGGUUUGGUUGCCGUGUUGCUUGUUCUGCAAGCCUGGUGAUGGCCUGAGCAUGUUUGGCGGGCGGUUGCGUGUGUGAUACUGAAUCAGGGCCAAUAGUCUGUGGUGUAGUGGUAGAC